rnacentral:lncRNA from 1 species
AAUGAAUAUAUAAUUAUAUAAUUAUUAUACAGCCCCAGUUAUAAUGGUUGCUUCGUCUGCCCCUGUAUGCUAUAAAACAUUAUCCUGGUCUGUCUUCACUGUAGGGUCCUAGAGGUGAGCGAGGACCUCCUGGUCUUCCUGGAACCCCAGGCAAUAUUGGUUUCCCUGGUCCUCAAGGGCCUCCUGGACUGCCUGGUCAACAAGGUCAGAGAGGGACAGACGGACUUCCAGGACAGAAAGGUGAACAGGCUCCACCAGGAAAUCCUGGCUAUCCUGGAACCAUGGGACCGCCUGGCCUCCCUGUAAGUGGUAUCAACAAUUGACCAUUGACAACUGACCAGAUGC